rnacentral:lncRNA from 1 species
GAGGCCAUUAGAGGUGAAAGGGAAUGGUGGGAUAGUUUGAAAUGGCAGAACGACAACAGCAAGUCCCGUUUUCAAAAAAAUUUAAAACCAUCUAAGUGUUCAGAUUGCCAUAGAUAUUGAGAAGAUUAGGAGCAUUAGACGUCAUUAGAGGUGAAAGGGAAUGGUGGGAUUGUUUGGCAUGGCAGAACGACCGCAGCAAGUCCCAUUU